GGAUGUGAGGGCAAUCUGGCUGCGGUACCUGUCACCCCUUGAUCGCCAGAGUUGAUUCGGCUGAUCAGGCUGACUAAGCGGGUGUCCACUUCCUCCCUCACCAUUCCAUGUGCGUCCCUCCUAAAGCUGCGUGCUCGGUCGAAGAGGACGAAUCUUCCUUUUAAGAAAUACAAUCAUU
rnacentral:snRNA from 1 species